GAGGGAAUAUUGGGCAAUGGGCGAGAGCCUGACCCAGCGACGCCGCGUGAGGGAAGAAGGUCCUCGGAUCGUAAACCUCUGUCAGGAGGGGAGAAGUUAUAUGUGCUUAACAGGUGCAUAUAUUGACGGUACCUCCAGAGGAAGCGCCGGCCAACUCCGUGCCAGCAGCCGCGGUAAUACGGAGGGCGCAAGCGUUAUUCGGAAUCACUGGGCGUAAAGCGCGCGUAGGCGGCCAUGCAAGUCAGGUGUGAAAGCCCUCGGCUUAACCGGGGAAUUGCACUUGAAACUGUGUGGCUAGAGUUCGGGAGAGGGUGGCGGAAUUCCAGGUGUAGAAGUGAAACCCGUAGAUAUCUGGAGGAACACCAGAGGCGAAGGCGGCCACCUGGACUGAAACUGACGCUGAGGCGCGAAAGCGUGGGUAGCAAACAGGAUUAGAUACCCUGGUAAUCCACGCUGUAAACGAUGGAUGCUAAAUGCAGGGGACGUUAGAGUUUUCUGUGUUGCAGCUAACGCGUUAAGCAUCCCGCCUGGGGAGUACGGUCGCAAGGCUG
rnacentral:rRNA from 1 species